rnacentral:lncRNA from 1 species
AUAUAUAUACUUUUUUGAGGUGGUAUAUACCAUAUUUCUUGCCAUGAAGGUAUGUAUACUAUUUUUUGAGUGGUCGGAUAAAUACUUUAGUUUGCAUAGAGGGUAUAUACAACAUUGUCGUGAAUGAGUUUAUAAUAUAUUUUUGUGACUCGUAUAUACCAUAUAUUGUGCCGAGAGGGUUUACAUAUUUUUCGUGUUAGUCAUAUACUUCUUUUAUCUGUGAGUGAGUGUGUACUUUAUUUUGCUGAUAUACGACAAACUUUUUAAUCAUGUACAUACUAUAUUGCGUUUUGCUGACUGAAUUUUUUUGUGAGCGUAUACGUACACAUUUUUUUCAUUCUUUUGGAAAAUAAAUUGUAUUUAAUAUAUGGACGCAUUACAUUCCAGUUUUUAGUAUAUACAAUAUUAAGAGUAGUAUAACGACCAACUACACUAACUUUAAAACAACAUUAUCCUUCAUAAUGGAGUAUAUCCAGAAAGUAGACAUCCACAAGAAUAGAGUAUGUAUCCAUCAAAUAUUCUUGUAAGUAAAAAAGCGUGCCACCAGUGCGUAUACUUUCCUAUACGAGUAUAAUGAUUUGACGAAGUAUAUAUCGGAAUACAUCUUCACCAUGAGGCCACCAUCGGCCAUGCAUCACACGUCGAUGAGAGGUCCUAGUUCCGUGUUGUUGUUGAUAACCGGCUUGGAGGCGAUAAUUGGUUGACCAUUUAACUCGAUCCAUCCAUCAAACUGGAAUAUAAGGAAAUAUAAGGAAAAGUGAGAAAUAUAAAGAUCUGAAAUGAAGUAUGCAUAGAUGUCUACUUGAGGUGCAUGAGGAAGUGGAUGCCUACGCCACCGAUGGAAGGUCUUCUGGGGUGCUGGAGUGCUGCCGCGCAAAUCACAUGAAAAGAUCUGUUAUUAUGCAGAAAAUAACGAAUCAUAAAAAUACAAGAGAAUUAACAUAAAAUUAAUGCCGUCCAUCUGUGGUAUAUAGUGCUUCAGGAACAUCAGUCGCACAUACACAAGAAUGGAUCUAGCUCAACUAAAAAAAUAGAUCUAGCUCUGUAUACUCUAGCCAAUGGAUUCUUACUGAUUAAGUUGGGGUGGCAGUGGGUGACCCAUAUUCACCUCGCUGACGGGGAUUGAUGUAUGUUGCCAGUGGCCUAUAACACAGAGAAACAUGGAGGCCGUCGUCUCGUUGCCCAGUCUGAUGGAGACGGUGUGCACCUGCUCGGUUGACGUACACACACUAGUCGCCGACGAUCGCUACAAGACUGAGGAGCAUAGAUGGUGUGCACCUGCUCGGUUGAUACGCACAUGCUAGUCGCCGACGGCCGCUAUAAGAAUGAGCAGCAGAAAUACAUGCGUCGGCGGCGCAGAACGACGGAGUAUUCUAAAGAAAAUGGAGAGUUCUUUCGGUAGUAU